AGUGAACGCUGGCGGUAGGCCUAACACAUGCAAGUCGAACGGCAGCACAGUAAGAGCUUGCUCUUACGGGUGGCGAGUGGCGGACGGGUGAGGAAUACAUCGGAAUCUACUUUUUCGUGGGGGAUAACGUAGGGAAACUUACGCUAAUACCGCAUACGACCUACGGGUGAAAGCAGGGGAUCUUCGGACCUUGCGCGAUUGAAUGAGCCGAUGUCGGAUUAGCUAGUUGGCGGGGUAAAGGCCCACCAAGUCGACGAUCCGUAGCUGGUCUGAGAGGAUGAUCGGCCACACUGGAACUGAGACACGGUCCAGACUACUAAGGGAGGCAGCAGUGGGGAAUAUUGGACAAUGGGGGCAAGCCUGAUACAGCCAUACCGCGUGGGUGAAGAAGGCCUUCGGGUUGUAAAGCCCUUUUGUUGGGAAAGAAAAGCAGCAGGUUAAUACCCCGCUGUUCUGACGGUACCCAAAGAAUAAGCACCGGCUAACUUCGUG
rnacentral:rRNA from 1 species